UAUUGACUAUUUUACUGUUUAAAGUGGUGUAUAAAGUAUUUGAUAUUUCAGGAUUCCAAUAUUUGGGAUUAUGGAGUUUGGAGUGAUAUCUUCCAGGAUUAUGGCCCAAACUUGGUGUAAAGGGAUUGAGAGAGUAACAUCCGAAACUGCUAGGGGGCCCUGUCUGUCUUCCCUUGUCUUCCUGAGACAGAACAUGGUUCAGGCUCUUAACCGUUCAGUCUUCCAAAUCCUAAGCAUUCCAUUGAACCCCGACCUGCCUGGUAAAUGGGGCAAAUCAUCUGGGAAGGAGACCCAUCCUUCAAUUCCUGAACACAUAGCCAUUGCUACCUGGAAGAGAUGGCUCUGAGAAUUUUAAUUAGGCAUGAGGUAGAGCGAGAUCAAUAGCUUGUACCUUCUCUUGGAGG
rnacentral:lncRNA from 10 species